rnacentral:lncRNA from 1 species
GUUCUAAUUUGACUCAUUGAAUAAAGGGUAAUGGUAUCAUUUUUGUACAAUUUUUUUCAUUUUUAUUAUUUAUAUCCUUUGAAAUUGGUUUUAUCACAAGAUUGUAUUUGUCUGUUUAAUUAUUUUACCAACUUACAAAUGAGCCAAUGUGGUAUGGGCUUUGCUCAUUGUUGAAGGCUGUACAGUGAUCUAUAGCUGUUAAUUUCUGUGUAAUUUGGUCUCUUGUGAAGAGUUGUAGUCAGCUUCUCACUCAAGUGAUGGUUUGUUGUACCCCAGGUGCUCAGUAAGACCAUGUAUGUUAAAAAUGUCUGUCCAAUCCAUCGUCAUUAACUUGAGUCUUUUGAGAAUGGAAUAUGUUUACAGAAAUGUCUUUAGUUAGCUAUACAAUAGAAUUGAGGUAUGCGAUCAAAAUAGUCAAUUAAUAGGUUGGUUGCUUAGUUUUUGGAGAGAAAAAAAUAGAAGUAAAGAAAGAUUUGCUAUUCACAACUACUGAAUACUACUGUUUUAUUUCCUAUCAGACUAAAAAGUUCAAUUCUUUUAAGACCAUAAGCAUAUUCAUUUAUUCACAUAUUUAUAUUAUAUACUGGAUUGUGUAAAUUUGCCAUGAAACCAUUCAAGUUAUGAAGGAGGGGUUUAAUUUAGAUAGUAUACUAGAAUGAUUCCUAUAUACCAGACAAAUGCCACUUGAUAAGAAGAGGCAGAUUUAGAAGGUUUUCCAGGGGGGCCCAGGCACCCCUGCUUUUGUAGGGGAACAUUUGGUUGAUUAUUUAAGGAAUCAAUGGUGCAUGACUGGUGGGUCCCCUCUUAGGCAGUUAGUGGGCACCCCUUAUGAUAAUUUCUGGAUACACCACUGAUAAGGGAAGGAUAAAUAUCAGUCUCAAACAAGACAUGAACAAAAUUUAAGGUCAAUGUGAAAUCCUAUUUUCUUCACUGUGAUAUUUUUGUUGUGAUUUUUAUUAUUGUUUAUUUUUAUUUUGCAGAUUGAAAUGUUAUGUUUUUAUUAGUCUCUCAGUCAUAUUUACAAUGUUAUGUUUUUGUAUCCAAUAAUAUGAAUAGGUUAUUUUGUUUUAUCCUAUUGUUAAAUAUUGUAAAAGAUAGAAGUUAUACAAAAAAGUAAUCCAUAAUUAAUGAUCAUCCUUCAGCAUUCAGAUAAUCACA